rnacentral:lncRNA from 1 species
UGGUUAAUGAGGUAAGAACUGCUGUGUGUGGUCAGGAUCCAGAUGGAGGUGGACUCUCUGGAGAGAGAAGAAGAUCUGAUCUCCACCAACGAGAACUUCAUCCUGAAGAGGCUGAAAACUGUAGAGAGACCUGCAGGAGACAUUAUCAAUGACACUCGGGACGGUUUUGUUCCUGACCCGUUUGUGAUGGGUGUUGGCGUUUCCCAGAACUCUCUGCUGGGAGAGCGAGCACUAAUCCGUCCGUCGGUAGAAACAAACCAACGCCGUGGGAGGAAGGAGUUCCAUGACAGAAGGAGCAGUGCUCACGUUUUCAGAUCUCAGGAGCUCCAGCAGAGAUGGAAGCGUAAUGCUGCUGUAAUCGUUUACUCCUUCCUCUGAUUCGCUAACAAGGAGGCCUCCCAUCGCUGUGCCAGGCUGUUCUGAGGUGGAGACGGGUGGAGCUGGAAGGAGGGAGGGACACACUCAGCUAAACCACUGCAGGAAGGAAGGGGGGAGGUUUGAGGAUGUAGGGACAGGGUGAGAGAUGGAGGUUGAGAUGGAGGAAUGGUCAGAGGAUCCAUGUCUGUGAGACUAAAAGGCCUUGAAUUGAAUCAUAAAAAAACAUAAAAAUGCACAAAAAAAACAUCUUAAAUAUGAAUUUAAUGAAGAUGAUGAUAGUGAUGGUGAUGAUGAUGAUGAUGAUGAUGAUGAUGAUGAUGAUGGUGUUGAUGAUAGUGAUGAUAACGAAGAAGAUGAUGAUGAUGAUGAUAAGAGUUGACAACAUUUGGGAAAUAUUAUUGUGUGUGUGUGCGUGUGACAUUGAUAUCCACCUGAUGGCUGCCUGUGCAGAGUGGGCGGAGUUACAGUAUUUAAUGACCCUGUAUCUGAAAUUAUCUCAGUGGCUGUGAUGGAAAUGUCACACUCUGUACUAUGCACUACAAACUCAAUGAGUAUACACGGUCUACUACAUAUACUACAAGAUUAAGAUGAUGAGGGUUCCCACUUAAGUAUACUUCCAAGUUUCCCAAGAUGCAUUUGGAACCUGCAAUGACAAAAACUAAUUCGCUGCAUGCCUUUGAAAGUUCUGAAAACAUUUCAAAUGAGAAAGAGACCAAGUAGAAUAUCAACAUGUGGUCAUUUGAUCCAUAAAAUUAGUGGAAACACAUUUCAUGCAGACAUUUCGGAGAUUUUCGGAGACCCGCCAUUGUGCUACUGACUAAACGUUUGGUUAACUUCAAAACAAGAGCCUUUUUUACAAAAAGUUUAAAAAACUCUUGGAAGACAAAAAGAGAUGCUUUUAUUUUUAAAGGGGGAUGUUUGACUUUUAGCUUAAAGCUGGUCCCAGGACCUUUUUACAUC